rnacentral:rRNA from 1 species
GAUGAUCUUUGGCGGCGUGCUUAACACAUGCAAGUCGAGCGAAGCAGUUAAGAAGAUUCUUCGGAUGAUUCUUGACUGACUGAGCGGCGGACGGGUGAGUAACGCGUGGGUGACCUGCCCCAUACCGGGGGAUAACAGCUGGAAACGGCUGCUAAUACCGCAUAAGCGCACAGAGCUGCAUGGCUCGGUGUGAAAAACUCCGGUGGUAUGGGAUGGGCCCGCGUCUGAUUAGGCAGUUGGCGGGGUAACGGCCCACCAAACCGACGAUCAGUAGCCGGCCUGAGAGGGCGACCGGCCACAUUGGGACUGAGACACGGCCCAAACUCCUACGGGAGGCAGCAGUGGGGAAUAUUGCACAAUGGGGGAAACCCUGAUGCAGCGACGCCGCGUGAGCGAAGAAGUAUUUCGGUAUGUAAAGCUCUAUCAGCAGGGAAGAUAAUGACGGUACCUGACUAAGAAGCCCCGGCUUACUACGUGCCAGCAGCCGCGGUAAUACGUAGGGGGCAAGCGUUAUCCGGAUUUACUGGGUGUAAAGGGAGCGUAGACGGCAAGGCAAGUCUGAAGUGAAAACCCAGGGCUUAACCCUGGGACUGCAUUGGAAACUGUCUGGCUCGAGUGCCGGAGAGGUAAGCGGAAUUCCUAGUGUAGCGGUGAAAUGCGUAGAUAUUAGGAAGAACACCAGUGGCGAAGGCGGCUUACUGGACGGUAACUGACGUUGAGGCUCGAAAGCGUGGGGAGCAAACAGGAUUAGAUACCCUGGUAGUCCACGCCGUAAA